CAGCGGAGCGUGUGGUUUAAUUCGAAGCAACGCGAAGAACCUUACCAGGGCUUGACAUGCAUUUGCACCGNCCAGAGAUGAGUGCCGGGAUACAGGUGUGACGAGCGCAACCCCUGUCGUUGGUUAGGGAUGUCAAGUAGCACGGCCCUGACGUCCUGGCGACAUACAUGGCCGCCACAUGGGUUGCCAACCCGCGAGGGGGAGCUUCCCACCAAAGGCGGUCUCAGUUCAGAUUGCAGUGCAACUCGCCCGCAUGAAGUCGGAGUUGCUAGUAACCGGGGUCAGCACACCACGGUGAAUACGUUCCCGGGUCUUGUACACACCGCCGUCACACCACGAAAGUCGGCUACACCUGAAGCCGCUGGGCUAACCCUUUGGGGAGGCAGGCGUCGAGGUGGGGUCGGUGAUUGGGGUGAAGUCGUACAAGGU
rnacentral:rRNA from 1 species